rnacentral:pre_miRNA from 1 species
CAGCUUUGUCCUAAGUCAAACAUCUUAAAGUUGGACCAAGUUUGUAGAAUAGUUUACUAAUAUUUACAAUAUCAAAAUAAGUAUACUAUGAAAAUAUAUACCAUGACAAAUUUAAUAAGACUAAUUUAAAGUUGUAGAUGUUGGUGGAAUUUUCUAUAAACUCGGUCAAACUUUAACAAGUUUGACAUAGGACAAAGCUAG